rnacentral:rRNA from 1 species
AUUGAACGCUGGCGGCAGGCCUAACACAUGCAAGUCGAGCGGAUGAAGGGAGCUUGCUCCUGGAUUCAGCGGCGGACGGGUGAGUAAUGCCUAGGAAUCUGCCUGGUAGUGGGGGAUAACGUCCGGAAACGGGCGCUAAUACCGCAUACGUCCUGAGGGAGAAAGGGGGGGUUCUUCGGACCUCACGCUAUCAGAUGAGCCUAGGUCGGAUUAGCUAGUUGGUGGGGUAAAGGCCUACCAAGGCGACGAUCCGUAACUGGUCUGAGAGGAUGAUCAGUCACACUGGAACUGAGACACGGUCCAGACUCCUACGGGAGGCAGCAGUGGGGAAUAUUGGACAAUGGGCGAAAGCCUGAUCCAGCCAUGCCGCGUGUGUGAAGAAGGUCUUCGGAUUGUAAAGCACUUUAAGUUGGGAGGAAGGGCAGUAAGUUAAUACCUUGCUGUUUUGACGUUACCAACAGAAUAAGCACCGGCUAACUUCGUG